rnacentral:rRNA from 1 species
UUGAACGCUGGCGGCAUGCCUAACACAUGCAAGUCGAACGGAAUUAAAGGGGCAACUCUUUAGUUUAGUGGCGGACGGGUGCGGAAUGCGUAGGAAUCUGCCCUAAAAGUGGGGGAUAAACUCGGGGAAACCCGAGCUAAUACCGCAUAUACUCUACGGAGUAAAGGGGGCGCAAGCUCUCGCUUUAGGAUGAGCCUACGUCGGAUUAGCUAGUUGGUGAGGUAAAGGCCUCACCAAGGCAAUGAUCCGUAGCUGGUCUGAGAGGACGGACCAGCCACACUGGGACUGUAGAUAACGGCCCAGACUCCUACGGGAGGCAGCAGUGGGGAAUAUUGGACAAUGGGCGAAAGCCUGAUCCAGCAAUGCCGCGUUGUGUGAAGAAGGCCUUCGGGUUGUAAAGCACUUUCAGUAGGGAAGAAAAAUACAGGGUUAAUACCCCUGUGUAUUGACGUUACCUACAGAAGAAGCAACCGGCUAACUCUGUGCCAGCAGCCGCGGUAAUACCAGAGGUGGCAAGCGUUAAUCGGAAUUACUGGGCGUAAAGCGUGUGUAGGUGGAAAACUUAAGUCGAAUGUGAAAUCCCCGGGGCUUAACCUGGGAACUGCAUCCGAUACUGGGUUUCUGGAGUAUGGUAGAGGAAAGUUGGAAUUCCCGGUGUAGCCGGUGAAAUGCGUAGAUAUCGGGAGGAACAUCAGUGGCGAAGGCGACUUUCUGGACUAAUACUGACACUGAGGCACGAAAAGCGUGGGGAGCAAACAGGAUUAGAUACCCUGGUAGUCCACGCCUGUAAACGAUGAGAACUGGACGUUGGGGAGCUUGUCUCCUUAGUGUCGAAGCUAAACGCGUUAAGUUCUCCGCCUGGGGAGUACGGCCCGCAAGGUUUAAAAACUCAAAGGAAUUGACGGGGGCCCGCACAAGCGGUGGAGCAUUGUGGCUCAAUUCGAUGCAACGCGAAAAAACCUUACCUACCCUUGACAUCUUUCGGAAUCUCUCAGAGAUGAGAGAGUGCCUUCGGGAACCGAAAGACAGGUGAUUGCAUGGCUGUCGUCAGCUCGUGUCGUGAGAUGUUGGGUUAAGUCCCGUAAACGAGCGCAACCCCUGUCCUUAGUUGCUAGCAGUUCGGCUGAGCACUCUAAGGAGACUGCCGGUGAUAAACCGGAGGAAGGCGGGGAUGACGUCAAGUCAUCAUGUCCCUUACGGGUAGGGCUACACACGUGCUACAAUGGGCAGUACAAAGGGUUGCCAAAUCGCGAGAUGGAGCUAUAUCCCAGAAAAACUGUUCGUAGUCCGGAUUGGAGUCUGCAACUCGACUCCAUGAAGUUGGAAUCGCUAGUAAUCGCAAAUCAGCAUGUUGCGGUGAAUACGUCCCGGGCCUUGUACACAACCGCCCGUCAAGCCAUGGGAGUGUAUUUGUACCAGAAGCGGGUAGACUAACCUUCGGGAGGUCGCUCACCACGGUAUGAUUAUAUGACUGGGGCU